rnacentral:rRNA from 1 species
UCCAGACUCCUACGGGAGGCAGCAGUGGGGGAUAUUGCACAAUGGGGGGAACCCUGAUGCAGCGACGCCGCGUGGGUGAAGGAGCGUUUCGGCGCGUAAAGCCCUAUCGGCAGGGAAGAAGGAGGACGGUACCUGACUAAGAAGCCCCGGCUAACUACGUGCCAGCAGCCGCGGUAAUACGUAGGGGGCAAGCGUUAUCCGGAUUUACUGGGUGUAAAGGGGGCGCAGACGGCAGCGCAAGCCAGGAGUGAAAGCCCGGGGCCCAACCCCGGGACUGCUCUUGGAACUGCGCGGCUGGAGUGCAGGAGGGGCAGGCGGAAUUCCUGGUGUAGCGGUGAAAUGCGUAGAUAUCAGGAGGAACACCGGUGGCGAAGGCGGCCUGCUGGACUGCAACUGACGUUGAGGCCCGAAAGCGUGGGGAGCAAACAGGAUUAGAUACCCGCGUAU